rnacentral:rRNA from 1 species
AGAAUCAACGCUGGCGGCGUGCCUAACACGUGCAAGUCGCACGAGAAAGGGUAGCAAUACCUGAGUAAAGUGGCGCACGGGUGAGUAACACGUGACUAAUCUACCCUCGAGUGGGGAAUAACUGAGAGAAAUCUUAGCUAAUACCGCAUAACACUUACGAGUCAAAGCAGCAAUGCGCUUGGGGAGGAGGUCGCGGCCGAUUAGCUAGUUGGCGGGGUAAUGGCCCACCAAGGCGAUGAUCGGUA